AGAUCCUCCUCCACCUCCUUCACCUGGGCAAGAUUGAUUGGCAAGUCCUUCCACUCCCACCCACCCUUGCCCAGAAGGUCCUUGGCGGCUACACCACCCACCCUCCCAGCCAGCCAGCCACCUACCCCUCCCUGAGCUACUCUUGCCCACUCCUCAUCCAUGGCCACCUUCAGGGACUCGCAAAGUCCUCUCCCUCCACCCUCACUCACUCUCAGGCACCAGUUGCAGGGCCAUGAGAGUGUACCCCAGUCAACACUAAUCCACCUCAGACACAACCACCACCAACCACCCAAGAUUCACAGGGUAGCAAAAUGAAGGGAACAGGAUCAGUCAAUUUUUUGUUCAGUUCUCCUCCUUACCCAAGGAGUACCUAAUUUGUUUUCAUUAUUUAUUUAUUUUUUACAGGAA